rnacentral:lncRNA from 1 species
UUUUAAUUUAUGAAAAUGCAAUGAGUUAACCUUAUCUCACUUGCAAUAUAUACUCUACAGUGCUCAUUGGCUACUGCAAGUGCCAACAGUAGCUGUCUAUAUGAAUUUGGAUGUAGAGAUAUCACCAAAACAUUCAACUUUAAUUACUGAGAAACUAGGAAACCAUGCACUAUUGUAGCUAAAUGAUUUUUGUCAGCUGCUUUUGUACUUUAAGAUCACUAUCAUUUCAACCCUGUAGAAGUUAAAGCAAAUAGAAGGCUCAAAUCCAACACUAUUCAUUUAAGUUCAGUUGCAACUCAAGGUUGAAAUUGAAACACCAAUGCUCAUAGCAAUAGAUUAACCUUGAAAUUUAAAGCGGACAAGCUUCAUGCAGCCAUCCUAGAGGUCAUCAUCAAAAGAAUAUGUUACACAAGAAGUUCCAACAAAAAUUACUUCCCAGCACUUUUUAUUCCCUCAAGUUCACUUCUUGUGAGAAACACGUGAAAAAUGAAAAAGACAAAAACAGAGGUGUAUGAUACUUGAGGUUGCCUCAUGGCAGUCCUGCUGAUUUUAAUUAACCUUU